GCGGAUGUAGUUCAAUUGGUAGAACGCUUCCUUGCCAAGGAAGAGGUCGCGAGUUCGAGCCUCGUCAUCCGCUCCA
rnacentral:tRNA from 2 species